rnacentral:rRNA from 1 species
UACAGAGGUGGCAAGCGUUGUUCGGAAUUACUGGGCGUAAAGGGCUCGUAGGUGGCCAACUAAGUCAGACGUGAAAUCCCUCGGCUUAACCGGGGAACUGCGUCUGAUACUGGAUGGCUUGAGUUUGGGAGAGGGACGCGGAAUUCCUGGUGUAGCGGUGAAAUGCGUUGAUAUCAGGAGGAACACCCAUGGCGAAGGCAGCAAACUGGUCAUCAACUGACGCUGAGGCGCGAAAGCGUGGGGAGCAAACAGG